CAGAGAACAAAACAGACAGGCAGAAAGAGAGAAGCUUUUACAGCAUCUAUCAGAUGUUGGUCUAAUGGCUGAAAUCCUAAACUGCACUUCCCUAUUCCCUACAUGUGUAUUUGCAACACUCAGCAGCCUGAUCUAAUGGACGGAUUCCCGGGAUUAAGUGCAGAUCUGGUGAAUCUAACUGAGAUGAAUAAACAGUCAGCCCUCGGCAGCUCAGAGGAAACCGCAGCUUUGGUGCAACUGUAGCACAGCACUGUGGGUUCAGGACUGUCUCUAUAUGAAUGACAGCAGGUGUACUGUCCAUAUUAUGCUGCGUGUCCACUUGUAAAGUUUUGUUGUUGUAGAUUUGAUUAUGCGCCAUACGACAUGCCAUAGAUUCGUUUGUAUGCUCAAUGCAACACAUACACGUGUUUGCGUAAAGAUGAACUAAUAUACUACGCAGAUCCAGGAAGACCUUGGCCAGACUUGUAUUUACAAUUCAAAGACAAGUUAUGAGACCAAUCUUGUGAGUGUGUGAGAAUCUAUGAGACAAUGUCGUUUUUCAACCCAGUGUGUGAUAUGCUAUCGACUUAACACACGCCCUAAUCCUAGCCAUCUGCCGCUAGGAGCCCAGUUGAAUAAAAGGGCGUGGCCAGAUAAAGGUAAUACGUUUCGUUUACAAGUUGCGUCAUUACUGGGGGGGAAAACAUAACCUGAGGCAACUGUAGCUGCAAUUUCUAGCAUUAGUAGUAGCAUGUAGUCUUUUUUUUUUUUUUGCUUAAUUACUCGUUAAUACUUUCACGGAAGCUGAAAACGCAAGUUCUGAUUGUAAACGUUAUUCGCUGUAAGUUCGUUAUAAAAUGUAACUUUAUUGUUUGUCGAUCAUAAAGCUGCCGACACCACGUUGUCCGAAAAAUCGUCCGACUUGAUAGAUAUCGUGAUAGUUGUCAGAUGAGUGCUAGUAAUAGCAAUUUAGAAUAAUACAGCAUGUAUUAAUGUAUCAAAUAAAAGAGGGACUAGAACUGUUCCCUGGGGAACACCUUGAAGUUUUUAGUUGUGAGACCCAGGCACAUCCAAAGUCCUAAGCCAUAGAAUCUGAGUCAAGUCCAGAGUGCUUAGCUUUAGAGUAUGAAUCUAGCUUUGCUACAGUUGUAGAUGAGUCACUCUGUUUGGAGACAUUAUCUGUGAAGAAAUUUUGAAAUUUAACGUAUCUCACAAUAGCACAGUGCUAGUACAAAUGUAGAACUGUUUCUAACCUGGUCGAGUACUCAUUCGAUUUGUUGGUGGUUUUAUUUUUCACGACAGUAAAUCAGAUUUCCAGAUUUAUGAAAUAAUACAAAUACCUGCUGCACGAACAAUGAAACUGAAAACGUGUAUUUUGUUCGCUUGACCGAAAUGAGCAAGUUGUUUAAAACCUAAGAGCUGAUGUUGACUUUAUAAAGCCUUUGUGCCUUCAACAAAUCUCCUGUCUCAACCUAUGCUCAACAUGCGCUUAAAUUAGACAUGCAUCGGUACUAAAUUUCUCAGCCGAUACCAAUAACCGAUUAUUCAGAGUGAUAUCGGCCGAUACCGAUACAGAUAGUUUGGCGGUUCUGUCUUUUAUGCCUUCUUUUAAAUGAAUAAUAAUGAAUUCCACAAUUCUGAAGGAAAUGCGAAUAAAAACUUUAUUCUCUCCAUUUCAACAAGUUCUUUCACAGUAACUGGUCUCACCAACAGAAAACACAUUACUCUAAACAUAUAAACACAUGAACUCAAUUCUGAAGAUUGAAGUAAGAUUAUUAACAUAUUGAAUGUUAUUAAUUCAUAUUAACAUCGGCUGAAUUCUAAAAAACCUCCUGCUAGUCUCACACUCACUCUCCACUAACAAAAGCAUUUCUACUUCAUCACUGGCAUCAGACUGGUGAUAUAUGAUAUCAACUUUUUUAUAUAUUAACAUUAACUGGAUAUGAAAUAUACUACUCUACAAAUAUACUUUCUGUGCAAUAUAUACUUUUUGUCAGCUCAUCUUCAUUUAAAUCUUUCAACAGUGUACUGGCGCUUUAAUUCGCCGCGAGCAGCGCGCCAAAAAAAAAAAUCGGACUCGACGCCGAAACUCCCGCUUCACUGCUGCAGCGUCCGGUGUAAAAUUUUAGCAGUGCAGAGCUUACAGAGCUUACAGACUACAGUUCUGUCAUCAUUCCACACAAGAGACAUCUUCUUUACACACGGCUCGAAAUCCAUGUGUUUUCCCGCCCUCUUUCGAUUGACAGGAUAUAAUCGGCCCCGAUCAUCGGCCGAUGGUGAAAAAUUGCCUUUAUCGGCCGAUACAUCGGCGCAUCUCUAGUUUAAAUGUGAGAUGCUCGAACGUAGUAAUAAAGUUCAAGUUAAACGUUAAAAGCUCAUUUAAGAACUCAUGCGUGUGAAACUGGCUUUGCACACAUUCCUCAAGCUAAUAAAAUGUAUUUCGAUUGUAAACAAUGGUAGCACGUUUUUAAUAACAGGUCAUUAUUUGGUGCGCAAAUAACUUGCACAAUAUAAUUACUUACUCGUUAUGAGAAAGCACUUAAACGAAGCUCCGAUGCCUGAAUCAAGCUUAAUAAAUAGCGAUUGAUAAAGGAUCCAUUUUUGUUGAUUGGUUUGGACAGAUUGACACUUCUGGUCGGUUUGAAAUGUGAUUGAAGGGGUUUUCGACACUUGAGUUCUGAUGCCGCAUUCAGGAAUAAAAAAAAGUCAGUUUGGAGGUGGGUUUUUCUUGUCUAGUUCGGUGUGGGUUUAUGCUAGUAACUUAAAUGAGCCUCCUUUUGUAAAACCAAUAAAAAGCAAUUGAUCAUAAAAGUGUAACAUGGAUAAUGAAUGAAGCUCCAAGGUGUUUAAACUGCCAAAUCAACACAAAUAUCACUCAUUAUACUGAUACAUGCAGCAUGCAUUUCGUUCUGGUAUGACAGGAAAUAUUUUCUCUUCUUCAUCUUCACUUCUGCUACUUAUAAUGUAGUGCACCAAUUCCCAGAGCAAAAUGUAUUCACUGUAAUAAUCACAGUAUAAUAACCGUGCUAAUGCUCCAAUCUGCCGUGCGUGUAUCUCUCUCUCUCUCUCUCUCUCUCUCUCUCUCUCUCUCUCUCUCCUGUUAAGCACAUCAAAUAAACAGCAUUGACUAGCAGAGCUCUCACACAGCAUCUGUGAUGAAGUCCAGAUACACAGUUUAAGUGCACAUGAAAGCCCAAAGAGAUGGAGACGGAAAGAGAGAGAGACUGAGAAAGAGAGAGAGUUACAACAGAAGGGCCUGUCCUUCGUGUCAGAAAGGAAAUUACACAUUAAACAAAAACAACAAAAAAAAAUAAACGGCAGGAACUUUAUGCAACACACAAACCCUUGAGCCUAAAAUCCACUGGGCAAAAAGAUCCUUUGAGAACCAUACGUGAGAGAAACGAGAGCUCGGCAGUUAAGGUUAUGAGUUCAGAUCCCAGGACUGUCUGAGAACCUCUGCUGGACCGAAAGAUGCAACAAUCAAAUUUGUUUACUUCAGGCGCUGUUGGAAAGGGCUCAAAUAUGCAGAGGAUGCUGGAAAAGUAAAGAACGUGCCGGACCCGGAGGAUUUUUCUGAAGAACGGCGGGCAGUUUAACUGCUCAGGACAAACAAGGGACUCAUGAAGAACUCUCACAGAACAUAAACACAGUCGUGGAUCAUCCAGGUUAUAACACACAGUGUUAAGAAUGGAGCGUGUGUAAAAUUUUCAACUGGUUUAUUUGUGUAAAUUCAUUAUUAUUUCUUUUAUCGUUAUUUAAUCCGUUAUUAUUGUGACUAUAUGUAAACAUCUGUUAUGUGAAAUAGCUCAUUCAGGACAGUACUAAAUAAACAAAAUGCCAUUUUUAUGAUGCCUCUUAUUCCUUUGUUUAAUUAUAAAUAUUUAGCAGAUUCUGCAAGGCGUAUGUAAACUUAUGACCUCAACGGUACGAUCAUUCCUACUGUAUUUUAAAGGUAUACAAUUGUAGCUAUUGUAAGAGUACGCCAGCAUGAUUUGCAGUUUUGUCUGUGUAGCCAAACGAAAGUUGGUAAAUUGUCAGAGCACGCGCGCUGUGAUUGGUCAAACACUUACAUAUCAACGUCGAUAACAGUCAGAAAAAAUGAUUGAGUCACUUUACUCUUUUCACCUAAGCUCAUUGCUGUUUUUUUUUUUUAAAUAUAUAUUUAAUUAUCCCAAAGCACAGUUGAAUUCUUGAAUCUGAUUGGUCAGAAGUGCUCGUUUGUAACUGUCAGAGAUAAAGCUGUUCCAACAAGGGAAGGUCUUCAGGACUCCGUCAUAUUAACUUGCAGAAAGAGCUACAAAAGAGGCUGGUGACGGAACGGCGGAACGUUUAUAGCUGCUGCAAUGGGGAAUCAAAUGAAAAACUUAAAAGUGCGACAUAAAUGAAAGAAACAGACUGUACACGGCUGUAAUUUACACGAGUCAGCGGCAGUCACGGAGUGAUUUCCAUGUUUUUGGACCACUAAUAGAGGCACUUGGUGGAAAGACCUUCCGGUCGGAUGAAACAGUGCAACAGAUGGUACAUUAGUGGCUGCAAAUUCAACCGGAAGAAUGGUUUUCUAAAGGAAUCCAGACACUCGUUAAACACUUAAACACUUCAGUGAACAAAACGGAGAUUAUGAAGAAACAUUAUAUACCUUUUUGACUCCUAUUUGCAAGAAGCGAUGCAAAAUAAGAAAAUAAUAAUAAUUUUAAAAAAAAUCACUUAGUGUAACCUAAAUGAAAACUAGAAUGUGUGGACAUUCCACAAAAUUUAACAUAUCCAUAAAAGGAUUUUUAAAAACGUCUGUCACGCUUUAAUGAAUAAAAAAAAAUACCUAAGUUGACAAAUUGCUGUAGUAUAUAAGAAAUAAAACACUUACUGGACCACACAGUUCAUUAUUUUAAUACGGUGUUUUAUUCCUUUUUAUUUAGCAUGAUUAAAAUCUUGUUGAUUGUCCAUUUUGAUCCAAUACUAAGGUCACAUUAUUAACUGCAAAAUCACUUUAAUGAUAAAAAAAAUAUACACUAUAUAUGGGCAAAAGUUUGUGGACAGAUGACCAUCGCACCCAUAAGUUGGGGUUUUUUGAAUAAGUUUUGAAGCACACAAUUGUAUACAUAAUUGUCUCGCCCAACAAUCAGCACCUGACCUCACUAACGUGGCUCUUCUGGCUGAACCGGAACAAAAUCUAGUGGAAAGCCUUCCCAGAAAACUGGAGGUUAUUAUAACAGCAAAAGUGAGACUAAAUCAGGAAUGGGGUGUGAUGGAUAGGUGUCCACAAACUUUUGCCUUUGGAAAAAUACUGAUCCGAUACGGAUUAGAGGCUGAUGAAUGCGUGCGGCGGAUGUAAUGUAAACAGAUCCUUGUAAAAUAUCAGUUGAAAGCUGUUGCAAUGACAUAAAUACACUGACCUUAUACAACAGAGACGUUAGCAAUCUCAUGCUCAACCUGCUGGCCAUCACCAAGGCCUUUACUUAUCACUGCACACAUUCCGUCCGUCUUCCAUCAUUUAUGAGCAGCGUACUAUGUUCGCUGGUCCUGCUGGAUCUCUCUGAAUUCUCAAUGUACUGAUCAGACAAAACGAACCGAAUCGUGGGGAAAAGCAAAAGGCAGGAAGGUCCGAGCCAUGAUGUUUGGGGAACAUUUCGAAAGUGCAUUUUGCAAACAGGACAUGUGUAAUAACACCGCUUUACAAUGUAGUAAUGUUCUGACUACUCUGUGUAAUCAAGAAAUGAAGAGCUGGUACAUUAUAUAAGAUCCAAAAUGACAACAUUUGCACUGAAAAGUCUCAAUCUGGUGCUUUUUAUUUAUUACCUACAGAAUAUAUUUCGUCUAAAAACAACUGCUCGUUUCACUUCAAAGCUUUAAACUCUAAGAUACUCGAAUCUUUCUUUGUGUUUUGUUUUUUGUUUUUUUUUUUUUUGGAUCAUGCUCUUAAUAGAACUUUCGCACAUGGAUCAAAUUCUGCAUGGGGAUCAACUUCCCGUCAUAUCAUGUUAUUAAAUGAUUCCACCGGGGUGGUUAAGUGCGACGUAAACCCUUGUAACGCUUUUAAAAAAAAAAAACGUAAAUAAAUUCUACACUGAGAAAACCUAUUUAACUGUUCCAAAGAAAAUGUGUCAAGCACCAAUCUAAUUUGACAGGGUUUCUUUGCUUGAUAAUGGCUGCUCUUAAAUGAGUAGCAGGGUUGAGCUUUUAGCAUAGAAUUAGCAAAUACACCCAAUGUUUAACGGUUAACUAAAAUCCCUGCCAAUGGAAUAAUGAUAUUAAAGACAUUCUAAUGAUUUACAUUUUUUUGUCAUAAUAAUAAUUCAAGUUCAAUCUAUAAUUUCGAUAGCACACCUCUUUUCUGGCGAAAAUACUUUGCAUGCUGUAGUGGUUUAUUAAUGUUUUGUGUUAUUUAUCUGAAACAUUCACACAGCUCGAUCUGAAAGACACUUUUUUUUUUUGUUGUUGUUUUUUUUUAAUAACCAACAAAUUCUUUUUAAUGGAUGUCAGCAGGAGUUGGUGACUUUAUUUAUUUAUUUAUCAUUUAUUUAUUGCCACGUGGUGUAUCUCUGCCUCAAUCAUUAACGGUGCUGCUGCUCUAUUCUGUACUAGGAACAGCUGUCCCCAGCCUCACAGCAGCACUAGAAGCACAGGCCCAGAUGUGCUGUCACAUGGACAGGAAGACUUUAUGCUGUAAGCGGUUUUCCAGCACUGAAAGCAAUCAUAUUCAACUCGUACUGUAGCACUAAUCUCUAUCAGGGAUAUAAUCUCAUAGAGUAGUGGGCGGUAAUAUGAUGGCUGAUCUGGUAGACUUUUACGUGAGAACACACCACAUGACACAUUACUCACACAGAAUUUGACAAAACCGUGUGAAAUACAACGUGAUUUUCUAUUGCGGUUCUACACCGGUCGAGUGUGAGAACACACGGCAGGACAUCGCUCAGUACCCGAAAAACGUUCACUCUGUCCCUAUGUCAAAGGCGUUUCUCUUGCGCUUCUAAAGCGUCGUCACUGAUCGGUGACAGGUGAGAUAAGUCAGGAAUGUCUUACUAUUGUUUUAUUACUAUUCGUACCCACAAAAUAAAAAUGCAUUAUUAUUAUCAUUAUUAUUAAUAUUAUUAUUAUUAUUCAGUGCAAUAGUAAUAUUACAAAAUAGCAAAGGUUUUUUGAAAUAUAUCUUUUAUUCUUUAUAAAAAUGUCUAACACUACUUGUUACAUUACCCUGGCAUUAAAUAACCAACUAAAAUAAAACCUGUAAACACUGCUGCGAGGGGGUUUCUAAUAUAGCUGCUGAGGGCGUGAUGGUAAAUUUGACAUGUUUUUCUCUUCUGACUGCCGUAUUCGAUCUCUAUACAUUUUUUUCAUCUCUUGGAAAGUCACGGAAAGGCAAUACUGGAUUUUUUUUUUUCCUUUCACUGUUGGAGCAAAUGGUAAUGAAAAAAGGAUAUUUGCUCUGGUCUCCUAUAUAUACCUCUAUAGACGUUUACCCUGCGAUAGUUUACUUAAACCCAGAAAUGGAUGUAUAUGCACGAAUGCAAUCCAUUAUAGCUGUCGUAUCGUGUAGCACGAUUGAAGUCACGUGCGGGUCUUAAUUUUUUGGAAAUGUCUUGACUAUGGAAUUAAAAACGUAUUAAAUGUGAAGUGCUGAUACCUGCAGAUCUACCCUGACUGACCUAUAAAGCAGAGAUUCCCUGAUCUGAUCAAUACCACGUCUUCAUCUCUUCAUCAUUGUUGAAUUCUCAAAUCUGAGUGUUGAUUCAUUUUUCCAUAACAGCAGCUCUGAAAGUAGUUCCGGCUACUAGGCAAAUCACAGGUUUGUAUUGACGCGCCCGUUCUAAUACGAUAUUGUUUCAACAUUAACAACAGACGUGACAUAAAAAUGUGUGCAGCUGUUGAAAUGGUGAAGUUUUCUGUAUAGAGACGUUUACUUCGCAUUCUCUGAAGGAGUCUCCAGUGUCAGAGCUUUAUAAUAGUCAGAGGUAAAGCAUUAACUUUACAUUCUCCUGCAAGGGAAAGUCUUCAAGACAGAGUUUAUUUAUUUAUUUAUUUAUUUAUUUCGUCUUAUUAACUUCGAGAGAGAGAAAUAUGAGAGGCUGGUGAGGGGAAGACUGUUUAUAUUUGUUAUAACGUAAAUGAUAACAGGAACUAAAUUGUUUCCACAGCAUUAAAUGUAAGGGAGAGAAAGUACAGCGUGUCGUUCUUUAAUUUAAUAAAACGGUUUUGCUAAAAUUGCUCUGAAAUAAAAACAAACUAUUUCGGGACAUGCUGUUAUCGGGAAAAAUAAUCAACUUUAGGGUUGUCACAUAGAACCCCAUCAAACCACCCCAUCAGUGAUUAUUUUUCUAUAAGCACUGUGAAAUUGUAGUUUAUUCCCUAUUUAUGUCACCCCACCAUUCGUAAAUCCGUUUUGAAUAAACAGGUUUUCUGUUCUUUUCUUAUAUGUAUAAAACACUCCAAAUAAAAACAGAGAUUAGGUUAAAAUAUGCUGUACUAUUUCAUUAAGCAUUAGUAAUGAUCAUGAAUGACAGACUGAACAUGACCACUUUUUUUCUUCUUCUCUGGAACUGUAAAAUGCUCAUCGUGAACGAUUUCUACAAUUGGUUGAAUGUACGAUUCCCAAAUAUGAAAAUCUAUCAUAUCAUAAUAAACUGUAACUAAAUCAAAACAUGUUGCUUUACAUGUUGUUAUUGUCAGUAGUAUCUCAUUUCCCUUGAAUUAUCAGAGUUCUCUGUGUUGUGAAGAGGAUAUACUGGUCUGCCAUUUCCUGAUCAAAAGGUGCAAGAAAAUAAGUCCUGGUGCCAUUUCUUCUGGUGCCACAGAAGACAACAGGUAGAGGAAUAUAUAAAUACAAACUAGCUGAUUAGAAUGCAAAGCAGGAUGCCCCUGAACUGGGCAACUCAUCUGAAUUCUGUAGAGGCCAACUUUGAUGUUCCUUCCCAGUGGUCUCCCCCCAUUCCCUCCACAUCCUGUAGUGGCAAAUAUAUUGCUCUCACAUAGCCUUGUGUCACAAACCACUUCAGAAUGUUAACAAUUAUUAAAAUGUGCCAAUUUAUGCUGUCAUAAAGGAGUGCAACACAACAGGAAAGAGUCUGUGAAUAUCUGGCAUUGUAAGCAGUUUAUCAUCAGACUCCACUUGGAAUUGGUUUUAAGCACCCGAGAAAAUUUCACAGACUUUUUUUCUUUCCUUCAAUUUUCCAGUCAGUGUUAUUAGUUCUAAUGAAUGCUGGUAACAAAAAAAAAAAAUCUUCUCAACACAAAGUAGCACAUUAUGAACUCUGGGGAAAGAAGUGGGACAACAGCUUGCCAAGGAUCGGACAUUUUAUAAUUAUGGUAAGCAUACCAUUCUUUAAGUUAAUACAUAACUGGCUUAAUUUCAACUAUAGGAAUACUCUUGCUAAAUGCUAUUCAGUGUCUGUGUAAUUUAUCACAUCUGGAACUAUAGAGAAUCCUCUUUCAAGAGAAUCAGUCCUUUCUGUAUCUGUAACUCCAGAAUAAUUGAAUAAGAAUAAUUUUCUUAACUUAAAUUUUUUUUUCUUCACAAAAAUGUAUUUCAAUUAAUGGUUAGAUUUCUCUCAGAUUUAAUAAUAAUAAUAAUAAUAAUAAUAAUAAUAAUAAUAAUAAUAAUAAUUUACUUUAAUUGAUUUCAUAUUUCAGCAUGAGAUUAAGAUAACCUUUUUUUUACCCACUUUUACCAAGGGUGCCAAUAGUUAUGCGGCUGAUGGUAGCCUCAUACGCUGCUCCUUUACCUCAAUAAUGAGAAAGAGAAAAUGAGAACUGGCUGUCUCAUUACGUGUACAGAUCUUACGAAAACUGGAUUUACAACUAGAAAAUCAAAAUGCUAAAUAAAAAAGAACUUCUGGGUCAUUUUGUGGCAAAAGUUAGUGAACCCUCAGUGGACUGUGAAAGUUUUACUCAUUUCCCUUCUAUACUGAAGCGACUUUGACUGACAGGCCCCAAGACAAAGUCAGAAAAUCGUAGCUGGGAUUAUGGAUGAGUGCCGUUCUUCUUCUGCCUUCAUAUCUGUCUUAUCCUCUACCGCGCCCUUGGCUGAGCCUCUCAGCCUGCACUGAAUCUUUAAUGAACUUCCCUAUUGAUAUUUCAAGAUCGUUGAAAUACUCAAUAAACACAACUAUCUUCUCGUUCAUACAUUAUUAUUGAUUUUAGAGGCCAAUAACACACGCAUGCCAAGUGCCCAUGGGCAAGAUGAGUCUCGUAAAAAAAAAAACGCCUCGGCAAAUAGAUGUCCACCCUGGGAAUGUGCAUUCUGACUAAUUCUGGUAUCUGAGCAUCCAUAAGAGUUAAUGGCCGCUUGGAAGGAAUAAGGAUUUUGAUCGAUGUCAAGGUUUCAUAAGAAAUCUGUUCUCACAGCAGUUCUCAGUUCAGCAACAAAUAUGCAUAUGUGAUUGACAAGACAAAUAUGUAAUUAAAAAAGUAGGACAGG